AGAUUGUUUUACAAAUUCCUAAUUGCAAGAAACACUUACAUGAAGAACUUAGUGAAGGCUGCUUCAAUGGGCCCUCUGAGAGAGGCACUUCCUCAGGGAUUUGAAAUCACAAAGCUGAAAAAGGAGGAUAUGAGGCCCGUAACAGUGAAGGUAAUUUACAGCACAUAGAGAAAAUUAAAGAACAGAACCUAUCUAGGAAUACAUAAAUCUCGCUGCACUGCCUCCUUGUACAGUUUAAAAAUGGAACUUUAAUACAUAAAUUGAGAGCGAAUCAAAUUAUUCAUUUGACAGUUUUAACCAUAUACCAUUGUCAGUCUGCUGUAAUCUGCUACAAAAUUACCACAGCCACAGCAAAAGCUACAAACAAAAAUGAUUUAAAAUUGCCUAUUACUUUCACUCCAGAGCUAGUUUACUCCUUUGUUAAAAUUGCCUAUUGCUUUCAUUCCAGAGCUAGUAAUUCAGAAAUGAAUCACCUACCAAAAGCUGGACAACCAAGCAAGUUUUCCUGUCCAUUUAUACUCUCCCCUGAACAACGACCCAUAUGUUGCUGCUGCAAGAGCCUGUAAACCUUGACAGGACAUUACAGUUAUUUUGAUGUUACAUAAAUCUCCAAAUUCUUCUCUGUUUAAUCUGAACAUAUAGUUGCGCCUACAUGACUGAGCACUACCCAAAACAAAGGAUAUCAUUAAAAAUGAGGAAAAAAAAAAACUACACUACUUACCUGUAAAGUAUUUAAACAUUCACCAAGAUGAAGUAAGGUUCAUCUAACGCCUUUCAGAAUCUAGAUAUUCAAAUCCUCAACUCUUUCCACAAUUGUCACAUAUUUUUUUGAAACAUUUUUCUUAGUGUGAAAAAUAUUUCAGUCAUAUAUCACAAUAAUUGUCACCUUAAUUCACCAGAUUCAGGACUGAAUCAACAAAUAAACUGUCAGGACAACUUUUUCCUUUCUCCAGGAACCGCGUGUAGGAAAAAAGACAGGGUAACCACUCCCAGAAGAAUUAAGCGUGAAUCACAA
rnacentral:lncRNA from 1 species